AGGAAUGUAUAGCAAUAGCUAGUUGCAUCAUUUUAAAUAUGAUGCAAGAUUGACUAUGUUGAAUAAAAUUCUAGGUAGAAUUAUGAUAAUGACAUUAUCUGCCUAUGUGUCUUGACCAAAUUACGUGCCAGCAGUCGCGGUAAUACGUAGAAGACUAGUGUUAUUCAUGUUUUCGGUUUAAAGGGUACCUAGACGGCAGAUCAAGCUUUCCGAGCAGAUAAAAAAAAUAUAUUGACAAGAAGGGAAAAAGAAAAAGGACUAAUUUGCUAGAGUUACUUACGAGGGGGUUUUAAAGUACUGCUGGUGUAGAGAUGAAAUUCUGUAAUACCUCUUUUCGAAAGAAAAAUAAUGGCACAGGUAUAGGCGAAGGCAUCCCCUUAUGUGAUAACUGACGUUGAGGGACGAAGGCUUUAUAUAACGAACAGGAUUAGAUACCCUAGUAGUGGAAGCAGUAAAUGAUGAAUGUCAUAGAUUAGAUAGAUUAGUUUAUUCUAUAAAUGAAAGUGUAAGCAUUCCACCUCAUGAGUAAUUUGGCAACAUUGGAAUUGAAAUCAUUAGACCGUUUCUGAAACCAGUAGUGAAGUAUGUUGUUUAAUUUGAUGAUCCGCAAAAAACCUUACCACAAUUUGAAUAUUUAUAUUAUAUUUAUUGUUUUUUUUUCAUUUUUUUCUCUUUUCAGGUAUGAACAGAUGAUCUAGAAAGUAUGAACAGAUGAUAUAGAAAAUAAAGAAAAGAGAAAAAAAUUAAUAAGGAGGCAAUGAGAUAUAUUUACAAGCGUUGCACGGCUGUCUUCAGUUAAUGUCGCGAGAUUUUGGUUAGAUCCAUUAAAUUAACGUAAACCCUUACUUUAUUUUU
rnacentral:rRNA from 1 species